GUCGCUUCAUGAAAAAAAGAAAAGGGCUGGAUAGCUCAGAGAGCCUUACCUGGUCAAAUUAAAAAAAAGUAAAGUUUAGUUUAUCAUCAAUAACAGGCAUGUUCAAUCCACCACUGGAUGAUGUUCAACAAACACAAACACAGCGUAGCCACGCCUCUUUCCAUAAUCCACGCCGGCGCUCUUCUCGUCAGGCCCCGCCCCUUCUCCGACGGCACCGCCCACCCCGCCACGCGAUGUUUAAAAAUAGCCGCUGGGAAAACACCAAAACCACCAACACCACCCCACUCAGAUAUUAUAACUCGAGCGAUAAGCCAGCCGCUUCAGUUCGAGUUGAUCGGAGGCCAGGGACGCACGAGAGAGAGAGAGACCCCGUGCGGUGUUCCUAAACGCCAGCGAAUUGCAUCGACAAGCAAAAGGCGUCCAUCAUCUGUCAUUGACAACGCCAUCGAGCCUACACGCACCCGCAGUCCACCUGGAACCUGCAACUCGCACAGGUAGGCGGACCUCCCCCCCCCGCCUGCCCCCCCCCACCACCGCUGGUCCGUGUUGGCGGAGCGGGUUCGCAAGGAAGCGCUUCCACCACCACCAGCACCACCACCAGCACCACCACCAGCACCACCACCAGCACCACCACCAGCCCACAAUGGCUUUCUCGCGACCCGUGCCACCUGGGGCCGGUGCCAGCCAGCAGCAGCAGCGGCAGCAGCAGCAGCGGGAGCCGCUCAAGAGGCGAAUCAGCGUGGAGGUGGCAGCCGGACAGGUCAAGGUGGCGCGGACUGAGACUGGGAUCGCGAUGCAUCACGGAGACGUGACUGCCUCCUGCGGCCGAGCUCUGCGCGCGAUCGGAGACAUCUACAACUACGAGCAGCUGAUCGCGAUGAGACGCUGGAGCAACUGGAGAGCCUGACGUCCAACGGUGGGGAGGAGGGGAGCAACGGAUGAGGAGGAGGAGGAACGCUACGCGAUGGAAGAAGCAACGCCGGACAUUGGGGGAGCGAGCGUAGAGGAGGAGGCUUGGCGGGGCGGAGCAAAGUCUAAAUGAUGGGAAGCGGAGCGAAGGUGUAAUGAAGAGAAGGACGUCGUGCGGGACCCGUUCGUCCUUUCGUUCGUACACCGGCUUUCUCGAGCGAUUCAUUCUUGAGCGCUGAAGGGUGGCUCAGGGGUCAGAGCGACGGAGGUGGCAUUGGGAGAAAAAGUCAAGAGUGGAAAAUUCCAUGGACGGCCAAGACAGACGGUUCAACUCGUGCCGAUUAAAUUCGGGUUGAAUUCAACAACGACGACGACGACAACAGACCGCCACGUUGAUCGUUAUUCUUGGUUUUGGCAAUAAUUUGCAUCAAUGAACAUAGCCCCUGACUUGUUGAAAGCCGAGUUUGUCAAAAUAAUAACCAAUCAUCAUCAUCAUCAACGGAUGACUGACACGUGGAGGAGGAGCACCUGUUCCCAGGGCUCGACGGACAGUGAAUGGCUCCAUCGUGACGAUUCGACGACAUCCACUCGAGUGGAGAUGAUCUAAGCUGAUCGUCUUCAUCAUCAUGAUCAUCAUCUCCGCAAGUCGAUGAUGAAACACGAUGGCUGCGGCUGCGGGAGCGGAGCUCACGAACUCAGUGGAGGGAGAGUGGGGGGGGGGGGAGCACGUGGUCAGCGGCCUGCUUCACAUCGAGGGCGCCAUGGUGGCAAGAUGUUAACUACCUCGCCUGGUAUACAGGAGAUCGUGGGUUCGAUCCUGGCCCUGACGAUGCCUGUAUAUUUGGAGUUUGCAUCACGCGUUUAGAGCGUUUGGCUGCUACAGAUUUCCACUUGAUAAGCCACUUCGUUGAGCUAUCAUUUGUGGCCAGGUCGCUUCUGAAAAAAUAACUGCAUAGCUCAGUGGGCCUUACCUGGUAACGUGACGAUGUGAGCCUCUCUUUCCAGUACAUGUUUCCACAAUGGCCCUACCAUCGCGCCGGUGUGCAGUGACAGAUGAGAGAGCACCACACGCUUGCAACGAGACCACGCUCGCAACGAGACCACGCUUGCGACGACGCUGCGUUACCCAGGGAUGUCUCUGCCGAGUCCCAAGAUGCCUUUUCAGGAGAGUCCUGCCCCAAUUCAUGAAUGAGAGGGAGGCGCACGGCGCUCCACGUGAGAGCAGGAAAUCAGAGAACCCGGAGACUCCCCGGCACCGCGCUGUCCACCGCGGCCACCUGGCCACGGCACUACGCCUACAACACCUGGCAAGCCCUGGUGGUGACGGGGGUUAUGGUGGUGGUCGUCACCCAUCCGUGCAGUAGCCAGGCCCAAACCCCUGCUUAGCAUCCUGCGUGAUGUGUGCGUCCACGUGCAAUUGACGCACCUGCCAGGAGAUGUCUCGCUUAUGAUCGGACCGCGAAUGUGAAAACUUAGAGAGCCGUUUGUACAGAACGUGACAUUUUAGUGAUCCGUAUUCUGCCGGCUGUGUUGACGAUGUCGGCGAUGACGAUGAUGGCGAUGAUGACGAUGAUGGUGAUGUAUGCACUCCACGUGGCCCUACCAUAGCCUCACUUAACUCCACCACUCUCACUCCAAAGCAGCACCAAACCCGCUUCCGCGUGCUGCAAAGCAAGCCACGGGCCAAUCGUGAAUUGGCCAAGUGACAACCCAUAGCUUCGGUUUAUAGAGUCGAUUCUUACGCUCGUAUUUGUACGCACGUUGAACUUCUUUCGCACAUGCACCAUGCUAAUCGGAGACACACCAAAUUAAACACAACAAGAACUUACAAAGAACGCUAUCUGGCGUUUGUUUGCUGCGCGCGACGAGUCGCACGUCUGAGAUUGAAGUGCCAAAGUCAGGCGCGAGGGGUGAAGUCACCGGGGAGUGUUGUGGUACACAAGCGAAGCCCGUUGUUGUGUGUUGUUGUGCUGUGUGUGUGGCGCGCGUCAUCUGCACAGUUAUCGUUUUACAGACAUUCUGCAACUACGCCAAUGAGUCACAAAGGAUACGCAGCGUCGCAGUCACUCGUGUCUGCUUCCCACCUGAUGUGGGUAUGGAUGUUUGGACUUAUUUCGCACAUGUAGCGUAGCCAACCGUGCUAAUAGCAGGUGCGUGGCGGGCGGGAGGUGUCGCAGUGUGGUGAGACGCUGUGGUGGUGGUUUAGUAGUGUGUUGUGGUGGCAUCGUCUGGUGGUGUAUUGUGGUGAGAUGGUGUAUCGUGGUGUGGUGGGAUAGUGUAUUCUGGUGAGAUGGUGUAGUGUGGUGGUG